CUAUCGGGACCUAACAAAAUAAAUGUGAAGAAUUUAGAUUUAUAAAUCUGAUUCUAUGUUAAUGUACAUUUUCAAAUUUUUUAAAAAGUUUUGCAGUUUUGUAAAGCUUACACGGCCCUAGAUGAUUAUGUGGCAUAGAGAAGCAAACCAAGGUACUGUAAAAGUAACACAAUCUAUGUGUAGGUUGGUUCAAUAUGUGUCAGGCUUAGUUUCUCUUUGGUUAGGUUAAUGCUUGAGAUUGGUAUGUGAAUCUUUUGUUGCUUCUGUGCCUCCUAGCCUUAGUCAAACUGCCUCAGUGAAUAAUAAACGACCAAGACCACCAAGUGAUAUUUCUGCUGUUGAACCGACUUCUACAGCAGUACCUGCUGCCUGGAACCCUUCCCACGAUUCAAGCCAAUUAAAUGUUUCUCUUGAAGGCCAGAGGACGGAUAUUAAUGUUUAUAGACAGCCCAUGCGAUCAGCAAAAUAUUCAAAUCUCACUACUGAAAGUUCCCAUGUCAGAGCUCCUUGGAGUAAGAUCUCUGAUGAAAAUGAAGAUAACAAAAGUGCCUCUGCAUGGUCUGUUCAACAUAGCUUUACAAACUAGAAUCCAAUGUAUCAAUACAAUGACCAGUUAGCUCUCCCAGUUGAAGAGAAGAAGUCUGAUGCUGUCGACUCAUGCAGGUUAUUUGGCUUUGAUUUAAAAAGUUCAACAGAUGCAGCAAAGAAAAUCACCCCCUUAGACACCAGUCAACGUGUUCAUCAAAGCUGCUGAUGGUGGUGAUUCUGAAGAAAAAUCUGAACUCUCGAAGGAUUCUAAAAUGAAACUUCAAGGGUUGCAAGUAUCACCGAAGGAAGUGCAAAGCAAGCAGAAUUGCUCAAGCAGAGGUCACACUAAGGUCCAAAUGCAAGAAAUAGCAAUGACAUGCAGAUUUUUAAUUGAUGUGGCAAUUCAUUUAAUUGACAUAUUCUGUUGCCUUAUCUUCCACCUCUGAUUUCAAAAUUUUGAAACCAAGAUAUGUGAAAAACUGAUUCGGAGUAGUUAUGAGUGGCCGGAGCAAUCUUCUGCCAUUGUUAUGAUUAUUGUUCUCAUCUCCAAUCAUGGACAGUGAUGGAACAAGUCAGAGUAUUUCUAUAACAUCCUCUGUUGCAGGUCGAAAACGACGUGGUAGUGGAUCAGCACUCGAUGAGUUUUUGCGUAAUAGAUUGACAAAAAUACAGCAGCGCGGUGAGAUUGAUUCAGGUGUGGAUCCCGAAGCAGGUCAUGCAGGCAAUUCAAAGACGAAAAACUGAUCUUCAAUUGCAGGAUGUUUAGUCAAAAGCUUCAAUAAAUAGCGCUGGAUGAUUGUAGAUAGUUUGCAAGCUGAUUAUGAGAAUCCUUCACUUCCUUAUUAAAGCUUCGUUGCAAAAGAUUUAGAUGAAUGUUGCAGUUAGAUGGCUCAGCUACAUCUGAUAAAAUUUUGGUUACGGAAACCAAGAGGUCACCCUUCUCCUGCAGUCUCUUCACUAUUUCAUAUUGGCAUUGCCUCACGGGUGAGAAAUCAAGCCCCAUGUCCUUGAGCUUUUGGUUUGAAAUUGUUAAUGGCCUGGAUCUUGGCUUAAUUUCAUCAGAACUUCUGCAUUACAACCAUGGGAAAUAUAUUGCUAAAGUUUCUACCACCUUGCCGCGAUGAAGCGAGAUUUCGGAGCAGAUGUAUCUUCCUGUUGUUGCAUGGGUCUCAAAGAGAAGAACAUGUGCAGAAGCGACAUCUCUAACAUCAACAUAGGCCUGAACUGAGUUGUUUUGGAAGAUGGCUUUGUUCACAACAGCAUGGUGUACAAUAGCAUAAUAUAUGGUUCUGUCAAGUAAAAUACCAUCAAUUAUGUAUUGGCUGUCUAUAUUAAAAUAUGCAAAAGUGGAAUUUGUCCUCAUGUUUUUAUUUACACUACUUUAGUUGAUGGCCUUAUCAAAAGCAACAACUAUGAUCUGCAUAUGGUUUCAAUUGCUUAAAGGUGCUCGCCAGUCCAAAUGAGCUUAAUGACGGAACGCUUUGCAGCUCAAACAGGAGAUUGGCAUGCUGGAGAUCGUUAUGUAUAGACAAUUUUAUCAGACAACAAUUUUGCAGUUGUGAGAUAAUUACGUAUGGAUUUCAACUUUAUACAUUAUGUAUAAGUAUUUAGUGUAUACUUUUAGGAGAGUAA